UUCCAGCAGAAAGAUGACCCUUCCAAAACAGAAGAAAACGGGUGGAGACCUCAGGAUGAGAAACGCAUUAAAUGACGCGAGAUAAACAAUUACCAGUUAAACACGCAGGAUGUCACUGGAAAAAGCAUAGGCUCAACAAUCAAACAUGAUCACGACCAUCAACAUCCCCAAGGUAUAUAAAGUUAGGAUCGCAGAGCUCACAAUUUGCAGUGCCAAACUAAAGCCAGAACCAAUGGUCAGAGCAGCAAUCUCUUUCCCAAAGCCAGCAUAAAGCAGCUCACCAGAAAUUCCAAAGAAAUUGAAAAAAUGGGCAUAAACCAAAAUCGAAAUACCAAACAUAAAUUUUGUUCAGAAUCGGUAAUGCUUUUUAGUGGGUUCGGUUGAACAAGAUUUAACCUAUAAUGUUGGAAACUAAAAAAAACCCGAAUACCUACCCCCACAAAUCAAGAUGAUCCGAGUAAGAUAAAGAAAAAGUCAUUAAACUACCCCCCGUCACCAUUUUCACCAUCAAUAUCACAACUUUUUCUACAUGUUACCAUCAUUCAAAACCAUCAGCAAAAAUUAAUUUAUUUUAGUAUAUCUAAUUAAUAGAAAUAACACAUAUUUCAUAUAAUUGUUCUCGACAGAGAAAUCUCAAAACAAACAGGCUGAGAAUUGUAAUUUUUUUUUUUUUUUGGGUUUUAAUGAUAUUUAGACGUUCAAAUCAAGUUCCCGAAAAUGGCAUUUGCAUUUAAGAAUAACCAAUGACUCUUCCGGUGAGGGAAAGUUGUAAACAGCUUCGAAUUCCACGUUGAACUGUGGUAAAAGAAUGCCACAGUAUUUUAUUACAAUAUCUAUUGUAAUUUCUAUGUACAGGGAGUUUAGAAAGAGUAUUCGACAUUAAUACCUCACUCGAUGCUGCGAUAGCAAUCACGAUGCACUAACUAUACAUACGUGUGCGUGUGUGUAAAGAAAAGCAAGAAGAGGGUUGCUGUGCACUAGAAAUUUAAUCAAAGAAAGAGAAAAUUGAUUCUUCCUAUCCUUUCAAGCACUGA